AGUGAACGCUGGCGGUAGGCCUAACACAUGCAAGUCGAACGGCAGCACAGUAAGAGCUUGCUCUUACGGGUGGCGAGUGGCGGACGGGUGAGGAAUACAUCGGAAUCUACUUUUUCGUGGGGGAUAACGUAGGGAAACUUACGCUAAUACCGCAUACGACCUACGGGUGAAAGCAGGGGAUCUUCGGACCUUGCGCGAUUGAAUGAGCCGAUGUCGGAUUAGCUAGUUGGCGGGGUAAAGGCCCACCAAGGCGACGAUCCGUGGCUGGUCUGAGAGGAUGAUCAGCCACACUGGAACUGAGACACGGUCCAGACUCCUACGGGAGGCAGCAGUGGGGAAUAUUGGACAAUGGGCGCAAGCCUGAUCCAGCCAUACCGCGUGGGUGAGGAAGGCCUUCGGGUUGUAAAGCCCUUUUGUUGGGAAAGAAAAGCAGCAGGUUAAUACCCCGCUGUUCUGACGGUACCCAAAGAAUAAGCACCGGCUAACUUCGUG
rnacentral:rRNA from 1 species